GACAACUAUCAUCAAGCUCUUAUGCCUUUAGCUACCCAAUUAUGCUGGCACAAACUUCUGCUACAGUUCAAGGUAAUCUUGAAAGCAUACCUGAAGCGGUGGAAGAGGAUCACAUAGUUUACACUAACACAGGUUCCCCAACAGAAAGCUUUGUU